rnacentral:rRNA from 3 species
UCAUUGACGUUACCCGCAGAAGAAGCACCGGCUAACUCCGUGCCAGCAGCCGCGGUAAUACGGAGGGUGCAAGCGUUAAUCGGAAUUACUGGGCGUAAAGCGCACGCAGGCGGUUUGUUAAGUCAGAUGUGAAAUCCCCGGGCUCAACCUGGGAACUGCAUCUGAUACUGGCAAGCUUGAGUCUCGUAGAGGGGGGUAGAAUUCCAGGUGUAGCGGUGAAAUGCGUAGAGAUCUGGAGGAAUACCGGUGGCGAAGGCGGCCCCCUGGACGAAGACUGACGCUCAGGUGCGAAAGCGUGGGGAGCAAACAGGAUU